AAUCUAUAUAUUAUAUAAAACACCAGUUUAACGGCAAAAUUUUAGCGCCAUAUUUUAUCUCUCACACGUUCUCUCUAAUUCUUAUUAAGCACGAUUGGAUUCUUUUCUCCCACAACUCAACAUCAGAAACUCUUUUCAUCAACUCUCUUCUAUUUCGGAUUCCAUAACCGCUUCUCGCCGAUCCAUUGCUCACCAAACUUAAUCGAAGAUUCGGCCGUCGUUUCUCGGUUCUUCAACUGUCGCCCUAGCGCCACCGCCUCAUACCAACAUUGCCCAAAAUGAUUCCGUAACCGCUCCUCGCUGUUCCAUCGCUCACCAAACUCAAUCGAAAACUCGGUCGCCAUUUCUCGGUCGUCAGUCGCCGCCCUAACGCCGCCGCCUCAGACCAACGUCGCCCAAAAUGACAUUGAGGGCCACUGCAUCAGAAAUUAGAGAAGUGUUUCUAAAAGUGCUGAUCAGAUUUUGGUUUGAAAACAACCAACAUCAAACAUGGUGGUUCAAUGUUUAUCAUCUUGAAAUACUGCAACGUAGAACUUCGGCUGAUGCAGCCCUCCAUGUGUGGCGGAUUCGCCGAUUGUAAGGGUGCCAUGUUCGUGUAUUUCUCUGGUGCAGUGGCAGCUAUGGUGCAAGGAUUAUAUUAUCUCUUUUAUUUUAGUGCUCUUUUUAGUGGUGUUUCACUCUUCACACAUAACUGUUGGACUAAUGUUUUAAUGAUUUUAGAACAUAAAGUUGAAAGAAUAGUGUUUUACAUAUGUAUUCUGCUCCUUGAAGUGUCCAUAUAUACCUCUAAUGAUUGAUUCUUAUGUGCUUAUAAUUUGUAAUUUUUGCUAUCAAGGAGAUGGAUUCUGGACACAUGAAUUUACUUAAUGGUUUAUUGUGACGUCUCUUUCUAUUGCCAAUUUUGCUUGAUUUCUUUGCCCAUAGUAAUGUUAUUAAGGAUAGUUACUUGCUGCUAUCAAUCUUAACAUAGUUGUGGCUUUCUUGAGACGUGGUUUAUGAAUUAAGGUCGUAUGCAUGGCUUUAUCUAUACACACUGCUUCAAAUAUCUGAAAUUGUGUCAUUUUAGGAUUAUGGAUGGAUUAAACCAAGAUGGAAACAAUGUGGAUUCUUUCUUACGGAACUACAAACUUGGGAAGACUCUUGGGAUUGGUUCAUUUGGCAAAGUUAAAAUUGCUGAACAUGCAUUGACAGGGCACAAAGUUGCUGUCAAGAUUCUAAAUCGUAAGAAGAUAAAGAAUAUGGAUAUGGAAGAAAAUGAUGGCGAUUUACAUAUCUUUACAAGAGUGGAGCAUAGGGGAUUGAAGUGGAAGACCAUUGAUAAAGAUAUCAAUUGUCACUAUAGCCCAAUUCAAACAUUGUUGGUGUUUGUAGGCGAUCGAACCGAGGGCGUUGCAUGCUUACUCCGCACCCCUCAAGGAAAAAAAGAUUGCCCAUAGCUACAGGAGCUAAUAGAAAGAGAGGGUUGAUUUAUUCAUAAUUACACAGAGAUAUAGCUAGCUAGAAUUUGCAACAAUGUUUGAAGUUAUGAUUGGUGGGUGAUCUCUAAUGGCUGCCGGCAAUGCCCCAUCUGCUCAUGAAAGAGAAUAGAUUAUUGAGAUGAUGGAGAAGGAGAUGGAAUACAGGGUGGAUAUGUUUAACAAGCUUACACACAAGUGUUUCGGCAAGUUCAUCGAGAACAAGUACACAAGGAAGCUUGAGUUAAAUAUGGGAAAAACAACUGCAUUGACCUGGUGCUUCAAAAUAUUGGCAGGUGACUAACUUUGUUGGCCAGCUGCUAGGCAACAGUCGAAUGUAGAGAAGAUAAUUUUUAUUUUGUAACUGUUUGAGAUUGAUUGAUAGUUUGCAUGGAGGAAGAUAUUAGGUAUGGUUUUUACUUCUUUUUCUCUCAUUUUCUUUUCCACUUUGGUUUCUACAAUAUUACAUUUGGUUUGUAUAUGUUAAAAUUGAAGGGCAGAGCUGCUUUGAUUGA